UACAGAGGCGGCAAGCGUUGUUCGGAAUUAUUGGGCGUAAAGAGCACGUAGGCGGCUGUGUAAGUCGGUUGUGAAAGCCUUCCGCUCAACGGAAGAACGGCAUCCGAUACUGCAUGGCUUGAGUGUGGGAGGGGAGAGUGGAACUUCUGGUGGAGCGGUGAAAUGCGUAGAUAUCGGAAGGAACACCAAUGGCGAAGGCAGCUUCCUGGACUAAUACUGACACUGAGGCACGAAAGCGUGGGUAGCAAAC
rnacentral:rRNA from 1 species